CGAGGUGAUACGGCGAGCUCGCGCGGUGCCGGACAACGAGCCAGCCACAAGUGGGCCAACUGCAUGAUGCGCAAGCAUAACGUCAUAAAAAGCGACAGGACGAUCAACGCGGACGUGAGCACGAUCGGCAUACCCGCCGACACUAACACCGUGGCAAGGGUAUUCCCGAUUUGCAGCAAACCGAGCGGAAGGGACAUGAACGAUACGGGAAGGUUGAUGAUGAACUGCUACCUAUCCAACUCUGGAGGACUCGUGAUGGGAUUUACACCACGCGCGUAAACGUUUG